AGAAGGAAGGGAAGAGAGAGAGCCGGUGUGGGGGUGUGUUGGUUUGUACAUUGAAAAUUUUCAGGGGUAGAGCUUCAGGCAAUGCUGAAUCCAGGUGCUCAAGUGAUCUCUUUUAGAAUUCAUUCUUUUCCACCAUGUUUCAUCUCUGUGUGCACUUCAUUUUUUUCAUGACUGAGACUUUUCGGUGGUUUUCCUGUCUUUAUUUUCAAAGCCCAACAUAGAUCAUUAUCUUUACAGCAUUCAUUUCCAAUAUGUGUUGUUCCUUCUGUUUGAUGGGGUGCAUGUGUUUCUUUUGAUUGUUUUUCUUUUGGCCUUUAGAGCUUUGCUUUUGUUUUAUUUAAUUGUUUUCAGCUUGAGUUAAGACAACCUUUAUCUCUCAGCAUUUUUUGGUGUACGGUUGACCACACUGAUUGCGUUUUCAGACAGGCAACCCCCAAGGUUGCCAGGCUGAUCCCUGUGACCUCUGA